AACGACUCUCGGCAACGGAUAUCUCGGCUCUCGCAUCGAUGAAGAACGUAGCGAAAUGCGAUACUUGGUGUGAAUUGCAGAAUCCCGCGAACCAUCGAGUUUUUGAACGCAAGUUGCGCCCAAABCCUUUAGGCCRAGGGCMCUUYUGGCUGGGUGUCACGCAACG
rnacentral:rRNA from 1 species